rnacentral:rRNA from 1 species
GAUGAACGCUGGCGGCGUGCCUAAUACAUGCAAGUCGAGCGAACGGACGAGAAGCUUGCUUUUCUGAUGUUAGCGGCGGACGGGUGAGUAACACGUGGAUAACCUACCUAUAAGACUGGGAUAACUUCGGGAAACCGGAGCUAAUACCGGAUAAUAUUUUGAACCGCAUGGUUCAAAAGUGAAAGACGGUCUUGCUGUCACUUAUAGAUGGAUCCGCGCUGCAUUAGCUAGUUGGUAAGGUAACGGCUUACCAAGGCAACGAUGCAUAGCCGACCUGAGAGGUGGACGGGCCACAGUGGAACUGAGACCGGUUCAGCCCCCUUACGGAGGCCAGAGGAAGGAAUUUUUCCGCAGGGGGCAAAGCCCGAACGGACAAGCCCCGGGUGAGGAAUGAGGUUCUUCGGACCGUAAAACUGUUUUAUGGGGAAAAAAAAUAUUGGAAAUAAACUGUGCACUUCUGGACGAUCCCAAAAAAAAGGCCCCGGCAAACCUCCGUC